CGCGGUAAUACGUAGAAGACUAGUGUUAUUCAUCUUUAAUAGGUUUAAAGGGUACCUAGACGGUAAAUCAAGCCCUUGCAUAGCAUGAUGGGACUAAUUUGCUAGAGUUAUUUUCGCGGGGGUUUUAAAGUACUAAUGGUGUAGAGAUAAAAUUUUGUAAUACCAUUUUUCGAAAGAAAAGUUUUGGCACUGGUAAAGGCGAAAGCAUCCCCUUAUGUGAUAACUGACGUUGAAGGACGAAGGCUUUGGGUCGCGAAUAGGAUUAGAUACCCUAGUAGUCGAAGCAGAAAAUGAUGAGUGUCAUAGAUUAGAGGUUAAGUUUUAUUCUAUAAAUGAAAGUGUAAGCACUCCACCUCAAGAGUAAUUUGGCAACAUUGGAACUGAAAUCAUUAGACCGUUUCUGAAACCAGUAGUGAAGUAUGUUGUUUAAUUUGAUAACCCGCAAAAAACCUUACCACAACUUGAAUAUUUAU
rnacentral:rRNA from 1 species